rnacentral:rRNA from 1 species
ACGAACGCUGGCGGCACGCUUAACACAUGCAAGUCGAACGAGAGAAGAGGAGCUUGCUUUUCUGAUCUAGUGGCGGACGGGUGAGUAACACGUGAGCAAUCUGCCUUUCAGAGGGGGAUACCGAUUGGAAACGAUCGUUAAUACCGCAUAACAUAAUUGAACCGCAUGAUUUGAUUAUCAAAGAUUUAUCGCUGAAAGAUGAGCUCGCGUCUGAUUAGCUAGUUGGUAAGGUAACGGCUUACCAAGGCGACGAUCAGUAGCCGGACUGAGAGGUUGAUCGGCCACAUUGGGACUGAGACACGGCCCAGACUCCUACGGGAGGCAGCAGUGGGGAAUAUUGCACAAUGGAGGAAACUCUGAUGCAGCGAUGCCGCGUGAGGGAAGAAGGUUUUAGGAUUGUAAACCUCUGUCUUCAGGGACGAAAAAAGACGGUACCUGAGGAGGAAGCUCCGGCUAACUACGUGCCAGCAGCCGCGGUAAUACGUAGGGAGCGAGCGUUGUCCGGAAUUACUGGGUGUAAAGGGAGCGUAGGCGGGAUCGCAAGUCAGAUGUGAAAACUAUGGGCUUAACCCAUAAACUGCAUUUGAAACUGUGGUUCUUGAGUGAAGUAGAGGUAAGCGGAAUUCCUAGUGUAGCGGUGAAAUGCGUAGAUAUUAGGAGGAACACCAGUGGCGAAGGCGGCUUACUGGACAGUAACUGACGUUGAGGCUCGAAAGCGUGGGGAGCAAACAGGAUUAGAUACCCUGGUAGUCCACGCCGUAAACGAUGAUUACUAGGUGUGGGGGGACUGACCCCUUCCGUGCCGCAGCAAACGCAAUAAGUAAUCCACCUGGGGAGUACGACCGCAAGGUUGAAACUCAAAGGAAUUGACGGGGGCCCGCACAAGCAGUGGAGUAUGUGGAUUAAUUCGAAGCAACGCGAAGAACCUUACCAGGUCUUGACAUCGUAUGCAUAGCUCAGAGAUGAGUGAAAUCUCUUCGGAGACAUAUAGACAGGUGGUGCAUGGUUGUCGUCAGCUCGUGUCGUGAGAUGUUGGGUUAAGUCCCGCAACGAGCGCAACCCUUACUGUUAGUUGCUACGCAAGAGCACUCUAGCAGGACUGCCGUUGACAAAACGGAGGAAGGUGGGGAUGACGUCAAAUCAUCAUGCCCCUUAUGACCUGGGCCUCACACGUACUACAAUGGCUGUCAACAGAGGGAAGCAAAGCCGCGAGGUGGAGCAAACCCCUAAAAGCAGUCUUAGUUCGGAUUGUAGGCUGCAACCCGCCUACAUGAAGUCGGAAUUGCUAGUAAUCGCAGAUCAGCAUGCUGCGGUGAAUACGUUCCCGGGCCUUGUACACACCGCCCGUCACGCCAUGGGAGUCGGUAACACCCGAAGCCUGUAGUCUAACCGCAAGGAGGACGCAGUCGAAGGUGGGAUUGAUGACUGGGGUG